rnacentral:rRNA from 1 species
AACGAACGCUGGCGGCAGGCUUAACACAUGCAAGUCGAACGCCGUAGCAAUACGGAGUGGCAGACGGGUGCGUAACACGUGGGAACAUACCCUUUGGUUCGGAAUAACUCAGGGAAACUUGAGCUAAUACCGGAUAAGCCCUUACGGAGAAAGAUUUAUCGCCAAAGGAUUGGCCCGCGUCUGAUUAGCUAGUUGGUGAGGUAACGGCUCACCAAGGCGACGAUCAGUAGCUGGUCUGAGAGGAUGAUCAGCCACACUGGGACUGAGACACGGCCCAGACUCCUACGGGAGGCAGCAGUGGGGAAUAUUGGACAAUGGGCGAAAGCCUGAUCCAGCCAUGCCGCGUGAGUGAUGAAGGCCUUAGGGUUGUAAAGCUCUUUUACCCGGGAAGAUAAUGACGGUACCGGGUGAAUAAGCCACGGCUAACUACGUGCCAGCAGCCGCGGUAAU